UUUGGGUUGCUGGGUGACUGAGCAGAAGAUUUUAAAAGAAGUGGUGACGUGGAUAAGGUUGCAUGGGCACUGGGGCUCGAACGACUUGCAAUGGUUCUUUUUGAGAUACCUGACAUAAGGCUGUUCUGGACUUCUGAUGAGCGGUUCACGUCACAGUUUGACAGUCGUGUCAUGUUGGUGUUACAAGCUUUAUAUUGAUUCACACGUAAACACAGCAAAGUUCUUGUACACAGAUUAGAAGCGUUUCGGAUAGCAGCAAAGGCUAUCGAUUUACACCGCCAGAUACACCAUAUUAUGCAAAGUGUUACGGGUAAAUAUUGGUGUAGCAAGGCCUUCUUUGUUUUCCUUUUGACUAUAUUAUCUUUGAGAUUGAUCCAAUUUUAAACAGAGUUGCCUUGAGCUUGUGUUCUCUGUGACUGAGAAUGAAUGUAAAAGAGUGUUUAGGUACUUAUUAGAAUUUGAUACUCAAUAUGAAAUUUUU